rnacentral:rRNA from 1 species
AGUGAACGCUGGCGGUAGGCCUAACACAUGCAAGUCGAACGGCAGCACAGUAAGAGCUUGCUCUUACGGGUGGCGAGUGGCGGACGGGUGAGGAAUACAUCGGAAUCUACUUUUUCGUGGGGGAUAACGUAGGGAAACUUACGCUAAUACCGCAUACGACCUACGGGUGAAAGCAGGGGAUCUUCGGACCUUGCGCGAUUGAAUGAGCCGAUGUCGGAUUAGCUAGUUGGCGGGGUAAAGGCCCACCAAGGCGACGAUCCGUAGCUGGUCUGAGAGGAUGAUCAGCCAUACUGGAACUGAGACACGGUCCAGACUCCUACGGGAGGCAGCAGUGGGGAAUAUUGGGCAAUGGGCGCAUGCCUGAUCCAGCCAUACCGCGUGGGUGAGGAAGGCCUUCGGGUUGUAAAGCCCUUUUGUUGGGAAAGAAAAGCAGCAGGUUAAUACCCCGCUGUUCUGACGGUACCCAAAGAAUAAGCACCGGCUAACUUCGUG